ACGAAAUAACAAGAGAAAGAAAGAAGAGAAGAGAAGAGAAACUUAGGCUAGAAACAAGGAAAGAGCUACGAUUUUGGGAGGAGAAAAAGGCAGCCCAAAACGUUACCAAACAGUCCCUAAGUUUCAGCUGCGCUAAAGGAAAUUCCGAGGCAAGUUUUGGCGAGUUUUGGUGAAUUUCGGGAAAGGUUCAAGAGACGACGAGGCGAGCAUAGUUAAGAGUAAUCCGUAAGAGGUAUGUAAAGCGAACCUUUCUUUCU